rnacentral:tRNA from 1 species
UUAGGAAUAGUUUUAAGGAGAGAAUAAUGGUUUUGGGUAUCAUAGGUGCAUGGCGUAUGCUUUCUAAA